rfam:Picea glauca, whole genome shotgun sequence.
GCACUGGUGGUCUAGUGGUAGAACAAUACCCUGCUAUGGUACAUACCCGGGUUUGAUUCCCAACUGGUGCA